UACGUAGGGUGCGAGCGUUGUCCGGAAUUAUUGGGCGUAAAGAGCUCGUAGGCGGUUUGUCGCGUCGACUGUGAAAACCCGAGGCUUAACCUCGGGCCUGCAGUCGAUACGGGCAGACUAGAGUUCGGUAGGGGAGACUGGAAUUCCUGGUGUAGCGGUGAAAUGCGCAGAUAUCAGGAGGAACACCGGUGGCGAAGGCGGGUCUCUGGGCCUUACCUGACGCUGAGGAGCGAAAGCGUGGGGAGCGAACAGG
rnacentral:rRNA from 1 species